GGUCAGCUGUGAUGAAUUUCAUGUUGUCUGUGUUUCACCUGAUUACCCUGAUUACACACAUGUUCUGAGCAGACC
rnacentral:snoRNA from 1 species